rnacentral:piRNA from 1 species
UGUGAUGUGCACACUACGAAUGCUUAC